GGAGGUAUGGCUCAGCGGUAGAGCAAUCGGCUGCAGUUCGAUAGGUCACUAGUUCGAUCCUGCUUGCCUCCU
rnacentral:tRNA from 1 species